GGUAUCGUGAGGGAAGUAUGGGGUAGUACGAGAGGAACUCCCAUGCCGUGCCUCUGGUUUCUGGAGUUUGUCGAACGGCAAGUGCUCCGACGCUAUCGCACGGUGGUUCUCGGCUGAACGCCUCUAAGCCAGAAGCCAGUCCCAAGACCAGAUGCCCACUCAACAACAAAAAGUAUGUAUUUUGUUGUUGCUUGUUUUUGCUGAGUGUGUCAUAUAUAUAUAUAUAUCUAUCUAUAUAUAUGUAUAUGUAUGCAGCUGUCUUUUUUGGGAAGAGUAGAGAAGGAAGAGGUUAUAU
rnacentral:ncRNA from 1 species